GCCCCCACCCGGUCCACAAGCCACCCCUGAGCCUCACGCCACCGGGGGACGGAAGAGAGUCCCCGGGCCACCGGAGGAGCUGUCUUUUUACGGGCUGGGCUCGAUGCAGGAGCAGCGAGGCCUACAGGGAAGCCACAUCUGACUCGACUCCGGGGGAUUUAUGAUAAUAGGAAAAGCAGUGAAUGGGAGUUCCUGCUGUCCUCACCAGCAUCUCAUGUUGUCAGUGCUUUGGAUUUUAGCCAUUCUAGAUGGAAAAUCAGUGCGUGGGCAGUGAAAGGGAAGUCCAGCCUCACGGAGGGGCUUUUCCUGUGGGUCUCCAGAACAUUCCUCCCACCCCACCCACCUCAUGACAAACUGAGGCAAUGUCCUAAUGCUUCCGGAUAACAAAGCGUCUGAGGCUCUGAAGUUCAGUGUGAAACUUGUUCGGCUGUAUUGGAAAGCACGGCAAAGAGAAAAGACACGUGGAGUAAGGAUAAGUGAGCCAGUUUUUAAGCUGAGGCUUCCUGUAGGAGUUGCAGCAGCAGUGUGACUUUGGACAAAUAUAGCCCGUCACAGUUUGCAAUUUCUGUUGGUUUACGUGUACGCAGUUCUUCUCCCCAACUAGAAGGUAAACAUCCUCUUCUAGUCACUGCUGUCUCCUGAGCCUGAAGCACAGUGUCUAGGGUGUGUAGACGAUCAACAAGCAUUUAUUCAAUGAAUGAAUGUGUGUGUAGAUGAAAGGAGGAAAUGCCCCAGGUAUCAAUUUGUACAGUCCUGAAUCUAGAAUUGAUUCUAGGUUGCCCAAACGCUGGCCUCUGCCUCGGGCCACUGAGCUUCUUGUUACAAGGACAAUAUUCACCAAAUUCAAAUGUGAAGACGAAGAAAUCCUGGAGCUGUUCCAGCCUGCCUGCGAGCGGAAAGGGGGCUCCUUCUCACCCUGUAUAACAGGAUUUCUUUCUCCACCAGAACGGGCUUUCGCUGUGUGCCGCGGAAUCAGUGUUUUAUGAAACAACUCCUCUUUGGCUCCAUAAAAAGCCUCUCAACAGUGGCAAUCUCUACUGGAGUGAGAGAGGAUGCCGUUUUUGAAACUUCCUUUCUAUGUUGUUAUGUUUUAAAAGCCAGCACAUAAUAACCUCUUAAAGAGUUUUAAUUGUGGUGAAAUACACUUAACAUGAAAUUUACCACUUAACCAAUUUUUAAGGAUACAUAGGGUUCGGCAGUGUUAAGUACAUUCACACUGUGCAACCAGUCUCUGAGCUGUUUGCAUUUGCAAAACUAGAACUCUGUAGCCAUUAAACGGCUCCCCAUUCCCUCCCCCCCCACCCCACCCCGUGAACCUGCAGCAACCACCAUUGUACUUUCUGUCUCUGUGAAUUUGACUACUCUAGGAACCUCACGUUGAGUGGAAUCUGUGAUAUUCAGUAUUUGUCUUAGCGCCCGGCGUAUUCACUUAGCAAAAUGUCUCCAAGAGGCAACCAUGUUGUCGCGUGGGUCAGAAUUUCCUUCCUUAUUAAGGCUGAAUAAUAAUUCCAGCGUAUGUGUGUGACACAUUUCAUUUAUCCUUUCAUCUCUUGAUGGAGACUUGGGUUGCUUCUGCCUUUGGCUGUUGUGAAUAAUCCUGCUGUAAAUAAAGCAGAGCAUCUCUUCGAGGCCCUGCCUUCAGUUGUUGGGGGCAUUUAUCCACAAAUGGAAUUGCCGGGUCAUAUGGGUAGU